AUUGAACGCUGGCGGCAGGCCUAACACAUGCAAGUCGAACGAGUGGCGGACGGGUGAGUAAUGUCUGGGAAACUGCCUGAUGGAGGGGGAUAACUACUGGAAACGGUAGCUAAUACCGCAUACCAUCGGAUGUGCCCAGAUGGGAUUAGCUAGUCGGUGGGGUAAAGGCUCACCGAGGCGACGCUCCCUAGCUGGUCUGAGAGGAUGACUGGCCACACGUGAAGUGAGGCACGGUCCAGACUCCUACGUGAGGCAGCAGUGGGGAAUAUUGCACAAUUGGCGCAAGCCUGAUGCAGCCAUGCCGCGUGUAUGAAGAAGGCCUUCGGGUUGUAAAGUACUUUCAGCGGGGAGGCGUUACCCGCAGAAGAAGCACCGGCUAACUCCGUGCCAGCAGCCGCGGUAAUAC
rnacentral:rRNA from 1 species